rnacentral:rRNA from 1 species
CAGUCGCCACGGUAAUACGAAGGGUGCAAGCGUUAAUCGGAAUUACUGGGCGUAAAGCGUGCGUAGGCGGUUUGUUAAGUCUGCUGUGAAAGCCCUAGGCUCAACCUGGGAAUUGCAGUGGAUACUGGGUCACUAGAGUGUGGUAGAGGAUAGUGGAAUUUCCGGUGUAGCAGUGAAAUGCGUAGAGAUCGGAAGGAACAUCUGUGGCGAAGGCGACUAUCUGGGCCAACACUGACACUGAGGCACGAAAGCGUGGGGAGCAAACAGGAUUAGAUACCCCCGUAGUCCCUGUCUCUUAUAC